rnacentral:rRNA from 1 species
UACGGGGGGGGGCAAGCGUUGUUCGGAAUCACUGGGCGUAAAGGGCGCGUAGGCGGCAUGCCAAGCGUGUGGUGAAAGCCCGGGGCUCAACCCCGGAAGUGCACUCGAUACGACGGCGCUGGAGUCCUGAAGAGGAGAGCGGAAUUCCCGGUGUAGAGGUGAAAUUCGUAGAUAUCGGGAGGAACACCAGUGGCGAAGGCGGCUCUCUGGACAGGUACUGACGCUGAGACGCGAAAGCGUGGGUAGCAAACAGG